rnacentral:rRNA from 1 species
AGGAAAAGAAACCAACAGGGAUUGCCUCAGUAACGGCGAGUGAAGCGGCAACAGCUCAAAUUUGAAAUCUGGCUCCUCUCCGGGGUCCGAGUUGUAAUUUGCAGAGGAUGCAUUCGGCGAGGCGCUGACCGAGUCCCCUGGAAUGGGGCGCCACAGAGGGUGAGAGCCCCGUAUGAUCAGAUGCCGAACCGGUGUAAUGCUCCUUCGACGAGUCGAGUAGUUUGGGAAUGCUGCUCUAAAUGGGAGGUAAAUUUCUUCUAAAGCUAAAUACCGGCCAGAGACCGAUAGCGCACAAGUAGAGUGAUCGAAAGAUGAAAAGCACUUUGAAAAGAGGGUUAAAAAGCACGUGAAAUUGUUGAAAGGGAAGCGCCCAUGACCAGACUUGAUCUCAGGGGAUCAUCCGCCGUUCUCGGCGGUGCACUCCCCUGUGCUUCAGGCCAGCAUCGGUUCUCUCCGGGGGAUAAAAGCGCCGGGAACGUGGCUCCCUUCGGGGAGUGUUAUAGCCCGGCGUACAAUGCUCCGGAGGGGACCGAGGACCGCGCCUUCGUGCAAGGAUGCUGGCGUAAUGGUCACCGGCGACCCGUCUUGAAACACGGACCAAGGAGUCAAGCAUUAGGGCGAGUGUACGGGUGUAAAACCCGAACGCGCAGUGAAAGCGAACGCUGGUGAGAGCUUCGGCGCAUCACCGACCGAUCCUGAAGUCUUCGGAUGGAUUUGAGUAGGAGCCUUAACGCUUGGACCCGAAAGAUGGUGAACUAUGCCUGAAUAGGGUGAAGCCAGAGGAAACUCUGGUGGAGGCUCGCAGCGGUUCUGACGUGCAAAUCGAUCGUCAAAUUUGGGCAUAGGGGCGAAAGACUAAUCGAACCAUCUAG